rnacentral:rRNA from 1 species
AUUGAACGCUGGCGGCAGGCCUAACACAUGCAAGUCGAGCGGAUGAAGGGAGCUUGCUCCUGGAUUCAGCGGCGGACGGGUGAGUAAUGCCUAGGAAUCUGCCUGGUAGUGGGGGAUAACGUCCGGAAACGGGCGCUAAUACCGCAUACGUCCUGAGGGAGAAAGUGGGGGAUCUUCGGACCUCACGCUAUCAGAUGAGCCUAGGUCGGAUUAGCUAGUUGGUGGGGUAAAGGCCUACCAAGGCGACAAUCCGUAACUGGUCUGAGAGGAUGAUCAGUCAUACUGGAACUGAGACACGGUCCAGACUCCUACGGGAGGCAGCAGUGGGGAAUAUUGGACAAUGGGCGAAAGCCUGAUCCAGCCAUGCCGCGUGUGUGAAGAAGGUCUUCGGAUUGUAAAGCACUUUAAGUUGGGAGGAAGGGCAGUAAGUUAAUACCUUGCUGUUUUGACGUUACCAACAGAAUAAGCACCGGCUAACUUCGUG